UGGGGAAUAUUGCACAAUGGGCGCAAGCCUGCUGCAGCCAUGCCGCGUGUGUGAAGAAGGCCUUCGGGUUGUAAAGCACUUUCAGCGGGGAGGAAGGCGAUAAGGUUAAUAACCUUGUCGAUUGACGUUACCCGCAGAAGAAGCACCGGCUAACUCCGUGCCAGCAGCCGCGGUAAUACGGAGGGUGCAAGCGUUAAUCGGAAUUACUGGGCGUAAAGCGCACGCAGGCGGUCUGUCAAGUCGGAUGUGAAAUCCCCGGGCUCAACCUGGGAACUGCAUUCGAAACUGGCAGGCUAGAGUCUUGUAGAGGGGGGUAGAAUUCCAGGUGUAGCGGUGAAAUGCGUAGAGAUCUGGAGGAAUACCGGUGGCGAAGGCGGCCCCCUGGACAAAGACUGACGCUCAGGUGCGAAAGCGUGGGGAGCAAACAGG
rnacentral:rRNA from 1 species